AUGUUCGGCGGCGGCGGGCCUCCCGGCAACGGCGGCAGCGGCAGCGGCAACGGCAACCCUGGAAUGGCUGCCCGCGGAAGAGGGGAGGUUUGGAAGAAGAAAUCAGGCCAGGCACCUGGGAGGGGACAAUGGCCACCAUCAGUCUCCUCCUCAAAUGCUUCACAUACUACAGCAUGGCAAGCUUGCAAUGGCAGUGGAGGAUCUUCACUUCCUUUGAGGAACUAUGGAACUCAACCUUCUGAUCGUAGGCCUGCUGCCGGAGACAAUCGGGGGCCAUCAUCACAAACAUAUCUGAGAGAAAAUCCAGUUGUGUGGCCAGCUCUGGCAAAUGGUUCGCAGUUGUCAUCCAGGUCUCAUCCAUAUGGCCCUGAAAGUAAUAAGGACGAUGUUCCUUCAUCUAGUUUUGACCCUGAGGACAGUUCUGAAGUUGAGGAUUUGUCAGAUGAUGACAUUGAUGAUGAUAUGAGCGAGGAGACUGAUUCUGAUGAAAGUGAAAAAAGUUUCGAGACUCGAAAAAAGAAUAAAUGGUUCAAGAAAUUCUUUGAACUCAUUGAUACUUUAAAUGAGGAGCAAAUACAUGAUCAGACUAGGCCAUGGCAUUGUCCGGCAUGCCAAAAUGGACCUGGGGCAAUUGAUUGGUUCAAUGGGCUACAAUCUUUAGUGAGACAUGCUAGAACGAAGGGCUCUAGAAGGGUUAAGCUCCACAGAGAAUUUGCCACAUUGCUAGAACAGGAGUUAGGAACUACGCUGCUACCACCUGGUGAGCAAUUUGGGAAAUGGGAAGGAUUGCGAGGAAGCACUGAUCGCGAGAUUGUAUGGCCACCAAUGGUUAUUGUCAUGAACACUUUACUGGAACAAGAUAAUGAUGACAAGUGGUUAGGCAUGGGCAAUGAAGAGCUUCUAGAAUAUUUCCAUGAAUACGAUGCAAUCAAAGCACGACAUGCCUAUGGUCCAGGUGGGCACCGUGGCAUGAGUGUGUUAAUAUUUGAAAGCUCUGCCGUGGGUUAUAUGGAGGCUGAACGUCUGCAUAAGCACUUCGUCGGUGAAAGAACAGACAGGGAAGCAUGGCAAGCUCCGUCUGAGCGUCGGUUCUUACCUGGUGGAAAAAGACUCUUAUAUGGUUUCUUAGCCAACAAAGAAGAUAUGGAGAUUUUCAAUAAGCACCACCCAGGAAAAAGUUGCCUGAAAUACGAUAUGAGAUCUUAUAAUGAAAUGGUAGUGGUAGGUAUGAAACAAAUGAGUCUAGACAAUCAGCGACUGAAUCAUAUGAAGAACAGGGUGGUGAAGACAGAGAAGCACUCUAAAGCUGUAGAAGAAUCGCUUGGUGUCGUCACUCAGAAAUGUCGAGAGACUAGUGAAGAGAAUAAGGUGCUCAUGCGUCGGAUUAAAGAGAAGCACUUGGAGCAUGAGGAAGAGAUGACGUCCCAGGAGAAGUUUGUCGAUGACCAGAUAGAAAACCUUUACAACGCCAUGGAGGAGAAAGAAAGUGAAUAUGAGGAGAGACUGCAGGAGGAGCGUGCAAAGGCUAGACAGUAUGAUGUGGAUUCGGGGACUACCGAAAAUCGCAGGCUUAGGAAGGAGGAAGUGCAGCGUUUCAUAGAUUGCCAGGCUAAGGGCGUGGAGGAGUUUAUGUCCAAAAGGGACGAACUGUUAAAGGCACACGAGAAGAGGAAGGUGCAGCUCAAGAGAGAGUAUAUGGAGAAGGAGGUGGAGCUCGAGAAGGAGCUCGAUGCCGCUCUCACGGUUCUGAUGGAGAAGCACGAGCCAGACACCUUCAAGGCUUCUAGCUCCAGCUUGUGA
rnacentral:rRNA from 1 species